rnacentral:rRNA from 1 species
GACGAACGCUGGCGGCGUGCUUAACACAUGCAAGUCGAACGGAAAGGCCCUGCUUGCAGGGUACUCGAGUGGCGAACGGGUGAGUAACACGUGGGUGAUCUGCCCUGCACUUCGGGAUAAGCAUGGGAAACUGGGUCUAAUUCCGGAUAGGAGCCAUUUUGAGUGUGAUGGUUGGAAAGUUUUUUCGGUGUUGGAUGAGCUGGCGGCCUAUCAGCUUGUUGGUGGGGUAAUGGCCUACCAAGGCGGCGACGGGUAGCCGGCCUGAGAGGGUGGACGGCCACAUUGGGACUGAGAUACGGCCCAGACUCCUACGGGAGGCAGCAGGGGGGAAUAUUGCACAAGGGGCGCAAGCCUGAUGCAGCGACGCCGCGUGGGGGAUGACGGCCUUCGGGUUGUAAACUCCUUUCGCUAGGGACGAAGCUUUUUGUGACGGUACCUAGAUAAGAAGCACCGGCUAACUACGUG